GGCCUUGUGGCGCAGUGGUAUGCGCGAUGGACUUACAAGACGGAGGUCCUGGGUUCGAUCCCCGGCAGGGCCG